rnacentral:rRNA from 1 species
CGUGCUUAGGAUGUUGGCAAAAUGGCUUUAAGCGACCCGUCUUGAAACACGGACCAAGGAGUCUAACAUGCCUGCGAGUGUUCGGGUGGAAAACCCUUGCGCGUAAUGAAAGUGACAGUUGGGAUCCUUCGUAAGGGGGUGCACCGACGCCCGGCCCUGACGUUCUCUGACGGUGCUGCGGUAGAGCAUGUAUGUUGGGACCCGAAAGAUGGUGAACUAUGCCUGAAUAGGGUGAAGCCAGAGGAAACUCUGGUGGAGGCUCGUAGCGAUUCUGACGUGCAAAUCGAUCGUCAAAUUUGGGUAUAGGGG